CUAAGUGGAAACUUCCUUUCUUCCCAUAGGGAAAGGCUAACCAUCUUGAAAGCUACUUUAUCAACAAGCUCUACCCAUUGGUCUGAAUCUUUGGAUUGUCUUCCUUCUAUUUCUGACCUCCUUUUGUAGACUCCGUAAGAGAAAGACCUUGACUUUCCCUAGCUAGUCUCAUUUUUCGGCUUCUUAGCCUUUGGCUUCAAAGCCCUAAUUGUCUUUGCGAAAAAGUCUAGAAUUCGAUGUCUUAAGCAUAUAACAGAACUAGCUUCAUUCCGCUUUAAGUACUACAAUUCCUACUCCUUCUGAGCAUUCUGUAGAGCUUUGUUCUCUUAUGAAAUGGAAAAUCAGCAGAUUUCUAGCCUAAUAUUAUUUCUAAAACCAUAGGAUAUGACUGAUUAACUGAUGUUUCAAAAUUUAAUGUU
rnacentral:lncRNA from 1 species